AACGAACGCUGGCGGCAGGCCUAACACAUGCAAGUCGAGCGCCCAGCAAUGGGAGCGGCGGACGGGUGAGUAACACGUGGGAAUAUGCCUUUCGGUUCGGCACAACUCAGGGAAACUUGAGCUAAUUCCGGAUACGCCCUUACGGGGAAGAUUUAUCGCCGAAAGAUUAGCCCGCGUUGGAUUAGCUAGUUGGUGAGGUAACGGCCCACCAAGGCGACGAUCCAUAGCUGGUUUGAGAGAACGACCAGCCACACUGGGACUGAGACACGGCCCAGACUCCUACGGGAGGCAGCAGUGGGGAAUCUUGGACAAUGGGGGAAACCCUGAUCCAGCCAUGCCGCGUGAGUGAUGAAGGCC
rnacentral:rRNA from 1 species